ensembl:lncRNA
UUUGGAGAUCUCAUCUUUGUGAAGCUUUCUCCUGCAAACCUAGAAUCUUUUGAUACAGGGUGGUGAAGUCCAGAGAGCUUCUUAAGAUGACUAUGUAGGAUGAGAAGAACUAUUGACUAUUUACAGAGAUCCCAGUGACAUGCAUUCUGUAUGCUAUAACCAGGCUGGGAGUGAGUACUUCCUUACAUGAACUCAGUAUUUCUGUCCACAUAAUGAACAUCUGGUGACAAGACGCUCAGAGCAACAACAACAAAAAAAGGCGGGGUGGGGGGGAAGAAGAGGAGAAAGAAAAGCAAAAGGCAGUAAAAUCUUUUGCAUGCCUGCUACUUUUAUGGCUCAAAAUAUUUUUCCUUCAAUCAGUGCAUCUAGGGAAACUUUUUUGAUGUAACAAUCAAUUUUUAACAAGGAAAAAAGUCUGAACUCAUAAAUAUUGUAUAUAUUAAUUGUGGAGCUUAAUGGAACAUUUUGUGUUUCUGAAAAACUCGUUUACAUAAUUAAAAUCUCCUUUGAUCUGUGAGUAAAUGAUUUAAUCUUAAUGCUCAUUAGGCUAAAUGGGUCUUCUAUUCAAUUGUAUCAAGAUGGUAUGGAAAAUUCUCAGACCUUUAGAAAAUAUUUGUUAGUUGUUAGGUAAACACAGAAACCUAUCUGUGAACAGAUAUCUUUUAUCUCUACAGAAGUAUUUGAGUGUAGAACUAAUGCAGAUUAAAGCUUUUUUUCCCUU